rnacentral:rRNA from 1 species
AACGAACGCUGGCGGCGGGCCUAAUACAUGCAAGUCGAGCGGAGCGGCGAACGGGGAAGUGAUGCCUAGGAAUCAGCAUGGUGGUGGGGGACAACGUCGGGAAACGGGAGAUAAUAACGCAUACGAGCAGGUGACCUUCGGUCGGAUUAGCUAGUUGGUGGGGCAAAGGCCUACCAAGGUGACGAGCCGUAACUGGACUGAGAGGAUGAUCAGUAACACUGGAACUGAGACACGGUCCAGCCUCCUACGGGAGGCAGCAGUGGGGAAUAUUGGGCAAUGGGCGAAAGCCUGAUCCAGCCAUGCCGCGUGAGUGAAGAAGGUCUUCGGAUUGUAAAGCUCUUUAAGUUGGGAAGCGUUACCAACAGAAUAAGCACCGGCUAACUACGUGCCAGCAGCCGCGGUAAUUC